GGUUAUUGUCACUUUGAGCCAUUUUUAACACGCCACCGCCAUUUUGUAAAAAAAUCGAUUCGAACGGAAAAAUCUUCUCCACCCCAGAACUAUUUGAAGGUGACUAUCGUAAGCCACAACAGAACCAGUUCUUCCCAAAAACUGAUAACUCUUCAACCAAUAUGUCUGACGGAGGCUAUGGAACAAAACGCGAAUUGGAGGAGGACUAUGGAGAUGAGGGGGGCAACAUGGGCAGGAAGAGGCAACGUGGGGAGGGGUACCGCGUAGACCUGCGCGUGCUGCUGCAGAGCAAGAAUGCAGGUGCUAUUAUUGGGAAGGCAGGCAGCAAUAUAAAACGCCUGCGUGCAGAUUACAAAGCGAGCGUAACAGUACCCGAUUCCGAUGGUCCAGAACGGAUUCUGACGAUCAGCGCUGAGCUGGGUACAGCGCUGGAUUGCUUGGAGGACGUGAUCCCCACACUGGAGGAGGUAACGGAUUACCAGAACAUGCAGGGGAAUGACUUUCAAUGUGAGAUUCGCAUGUUGGUCCAUCAGAGCCAGGCUGGCUGUGUGAUCGGACGCGCAGGCUUCAAGAUCAAGGAGCUCAGGGAGCAAACAGGUACGAACAUCAAGGUGUACUCCCAGUGCUGUCCUGGCUCCACUGAGCGUGUCGUAGCCAUAGGCGGCAAACCAAAGUCUGUCGUCAACUGCAUUGACACCAUCUAUGAACUGCUAGAGACAGCACCACCAAAAGGCCCAAACCAGUUUUACGACCCCAACAACUUUGAUGAGAUGUUCUGCAACGAGUAUGGGGGCUACUCAAUGGCUGAUGGUCUCCGUGGAGCAAAGGGCGGCCGUGGUGGUGGUGGUGGUGGUAGAGGGGGGCCACGUGGCGGUGGAGGCUUUGGUGGUGGUGGACGUGGCGGGGGAUUUGACGGCCCUAGAGGUGGCGGUGGAAUGGGAGGUCGGGGCGGGCGCGGAGGUGCUCCCCGUGGAGGUAUGGGAGACAUGGGCGGGCGAGGUGGAGGUCGUGGUGGGAUGGGCGGCGGAGGGUUUGGUGGGCGAGGCGGAGGCAACCUUGGCGGUGGUGCGAUGGGCGGUGGUGGUGUGAUGGGAGGCGGUGGGGCGAUGGGAGGAGGUGGGGGAAACUUCGGCGGCGGCCAGAUGGCCAGCCUUGGUGGCGGCAUGGGAGGUGGGAUGGGAGGAGGCAUGGGAGGUAACAUGGGAGGAAACCUAGGCGGAGGAAUGGGAGGGCCGCCUGGCAGAGGUGGGAUGGGUGGCAACUUCGGAGGUCGAGGAGGCGGAAUGGGAGGCGUCCGUGGAGGAAUGGGCGGAAACAUGGGUAGAGGUGGUGGUAACAUGGGUAACCAAGGCGGCUUCGGUGGUGGUAACCAGGGGGGCUUCGGAGAGGGGGGCUUCGGAGGUGACAUGGGGGGAGGCGGCUUCCAGGAUGACAACAUGGUAAGGAAGGGAGGCAUGGGUAACCAGGGCAUGAUGUUUGGAGGCAAUGACCCCGUAACCAGCACCCAGGUCACCAUCCCUAAGGAUAUGGCGGGCGCCAUUAUUGGCAAGGGUGGUUCCCGUAUCAUGGAGAUCCGUCGUCAGUCUGACGCCCAGAUUGUGAUAGACGAGGCUCUGCCGGGCUCCAAUGACCGCAUCAUCACCAUCACGGGCACAGAGGAACAGAUACAGAAUGCCCAGUACCUGCUGCAGAUGAGCGCAAGGGAACUUCAGGCUGGGGCAAGGGCCAAAAACCAUUAGAGAAACAGUUCAAAGAAAGUGCUAGUUAAAAUCCAAUAUUAAAGCGUGAAGAAAUUUGCUCCAAACAAACUUCAAAACUUGCAAGUUUAGGCAGGGUGGUUGGAUGAUGACAGAGUGGCAAGAAGGGCAGCUGUAUCCGUUUUCCUAUAGUUCUCAUUGGAGCAACUUCAAUUUGCAUCGACCAUAGGACCCAAAACUUUGAUUGUAUAUAUAGUCAUUUUAUCACCUGUCAAAAGUGUUUCAUUGUUCUGAUGUGCUUCAUUUUUAUUCACUAUUUCAUAACACAAAUCAUUGUUUUAUAAGAUUGAUUUUGAAUAUAUUUUAAUGUCGAAGAUUUGUAAUUCUUAGAACAAUCUGUUUUGUUUUGCGUCCGUGAAUUUCUGCAGAAGUAUGGAUUUGUUGUAUGUUUGUAAUUAACCUGAUGUUUAGAGUUGAUCCUUGUUUUUUAUUAAUAGAUAUGUUGACACUAUAUAAGGUAACAAUAUCAGGUUUACAACUUGCCACUUGGCACUCAACUUGGUAACGAUAAGGUUCAACCUCAGGCAUUCCAUAUUUUUUCCAACACCACAAGGCCAAGUGAAGACUGUGUCGUUAAAUCCGAGCGUGAACUAUUUGAGACCAGUGGUCAUAUGUUUGCACAAGUUUUUUUCAUGGUGUUACCCAGGUAUAUUAUUUAUACCAUAUUUGAUUGAACGCUUCAACCUACCUAUCAAAGGUGUUUGUUUCUGUUACAUAACAUUACUCUAGAAUCAAGUUAAAUAUUACUAAGCCAAUCUAUUUUUAGUGAAACGGUAGAAUUUAAUCAUGGGUGUUACUUAUUGUUGAAAAAAUAACUUUGUACAGAUCAUGUCAUUAUGUCUACAAUAAAAGUAGCUCAUCA